CCCUCGGGUAGGACAUCUAGAUCUUCUCCACAUAGUUUCCAGGAAACAUUCCCUCUCUGCCACGCAACCGACCGAACCACCAACCAGAUGGAUCUGCAGAAAGCACAGAGACAAAGGCUGACUCGGUGUGGCUGCUGCUGCCAUCUUGUGGCACUUGUACGUUACUACACCCCACAGUUUGGCUGAGAUAUUAACACGCAAGAGGAGUAACACUUCAGAUGGACAAUCGACAGUGUUCAACACAGCAUGAUUACGUUGCUGCAAUGCUUGUCUUUCUGCCUGUCUGUAUUUGAAGCCAGUUUUCAAUGAAACUGACAUUUGUAACUGAAACUGAUUUGUUCCAGAAGCAUUCAUUAGGGCUCAUACAAUGCUUCAUUUACCAUGAUACACACAAACACACACACACACACUAUGUAGAUUUAUAAGUUGAGUUUUCUCAUUUUGGUCAGAGAUUGUUGUUGGGUGAAAUAAAUGCGUGUUGACGUCUUUUUA